rnacentral:lncRNA from 1 species
CCUGGCCCGGCAGCGGGGAGAAGGGUGCGGCGCAGCCCGAGUUUCCCACCUUUUCUCCUGGCCCAGACGCGGCUGGGGCGGACGGGAUCUCUCGCGCUCUGCCUCCUCCUCUUGCUUCAUGGAGCCAUGCGCCUGGGUGGAGGCUCCCGAGAGAAGCUGGCCUGCGGGCGGGCCGGACGAGCUGCGCGGACGGGGCGGGGCGAAGGAGGCCGGCAGGCGGAGGAGGAAGCGGCGGGGCGGAGGCGGCGGCGGCCGGGAAGAACUAGAGGUAUUCCCCGGGCGGCUGGAGGACUGAGUCGAGCCGGGACCCGAGUCCUCCGGUAUCCCAGCAGCCACCGGAGGCAGUGAGAUAAUGGAGGAAGAAUGUAGGGAGACCUCCAGUGGACCGCACUCCUUCUAGCGAGCCGCGGAAACCAUAGAGAUCAGGGCUCAGCCGGAGGGCCGGCCCACUGCUGUCACGUGGCCUCCAUCCGUGCGCUUUAUUGGCUGGUGCUGGCUUUACGGGGUUGAAUUUUGGACGCUGCCUGCCAUUCGUGGGACCGAGUUUCAGGCAGCUGGAAUAAAGAGAGACAUCGGGGGAAAGCCGCGAGAAGGCCAGCGUCCCUGGCUGGGAGCAGAGCUAGCCGAGUAGGGCGCCCGGCUGUCAAACUGGCCGGCGCAGUGCACGCUGGGCCGCCCCGGAGCGGUCGCAGAGCCCGUCGGGAGUCGUAGUCCGGGACGGGCCCGCGGCAUUGUCCGCGACGCAGCUCGGGAUCCGGGUCGGGGUGUCGGCCGGGUUGCUGCCGGGCACCGUCGAGCGUUAGCCACCCAGCAUUGAGCUGCCAGCGGCUGUUCUCCCUAAGCACCCUCGCUCACGUCGCCUCGCCUCGCCUCGCCUGACCGGCCGCAGCCUUGGAUACCAGCCUUAAAUCGAGCCGACUACGGCCCAGCCCCGCCCGCGGCGAGGUGCGCGGGGUUCGGUGCCAGCCGCUCGCCCCUGGCGGGGCCAGCCUCUUGAUGCACCGGGGACGGGCGCCCCCAUCCGACUCUUCGAGGGGCGGCAGGGCCCCAUCUGUGUCUUUCGCUCUCGAGCCCCCAGCUAGAGUUGGCUUCAGCGGAAUACCUACUGUGCGGGAUUAUUCAACAAGCCGAUUGAUCACAUUCUUCAGCUCUAGCAGUGCAAAGGCUUCACUGAAAAAGAACAUUACAAAUUUUUUUUGAAAGAAAUUUGGGGGAAUCCACUGAAGACCUACAUUUCCCGGAAGGUUAACAGCCCCCUUCUCAGUUUUCC